AAAUAUAAGUAAAUGAUUUGUGUUUAUUUUGUUAUUACAGACACGUACGAUGCUGCACUGAAGAAGUUGGAAAGUGCCAAAAAUGAUUCCGAAGUUGAAGAAGAAUAUUCAAAAAGAGAAAAUAAACAUUUUCGUCAAAGAAGGCAUAAAAAAAUUAUAAAAGACUACGGAUUAAUUGAAUCAACCGACGCCGACGCUGAGGUGGAUGAGUCUCUAAGAAAAUCAAAAUUAUUGUCCUUACAUUGCCAAAAUGAUUUUCCUCUACCACCUUCAGAAAAAAAACAGCUCCCGUUGUCAAGCUCGAGUACAUCAAACGAUGU